GACGAACGCUGGCGGCGUGCUUAACACAUGCAAGUCGAACGGAAAGGCCCUUCGGGGUACUCGAGUGGCGAACGGGUGAGUAACACGUGGGUGAUCUGCCCUGCACUUUGGGAUAAGCCUGGGAAACUGGGUCUAAUACCGAAUAGGACCACGCGCUUCAUGGUGUGUGGCGGAAAGCUUUUGCGGUGUGGGAUGGGCCCGCGGCCUAUCAGCUUGUUGGUGGGGUAAUGGCCCACCAAGGCGACGACGGGUAGCCGGCCUGAGAGGGUGACCGGCCACACUGGGACUGAGAUACGGCCCAGACUCCUACGGGAGGCAGCAGUGGGGAAUAUUGCACAAUGGGCGCAAGCCUGAUGCAGCGACGCCGCGUGAGGGAUGACGGCCUUCGGGUUGUAAACCUCUUUCAAUAGGGACGAAGCGCAAGUGACGGUACCUAUAGAAGAAGCACCGGCCAACUACGUG
rnacentral:rRNA from 1 species